UCCAUGCACACCUGCACAGUUUUUCUUUUUUCUUGAUUCUUCUUGCUUUUAGUUGAAUUUCUUCUAUUUGUAAAAUGUCCUGCGUUUUUUUCGUAAUUAGUUAGUAAAAAUAUGGAUUUUUUGGUUUCAAUUUCGCGUGAAUUAUUGCCUUUAUCGGUCGAAAGGUUUUUUGUAAUGAACAAGUAGCUGAAAUUAUUGCAUGAUUGUCGCAGUUUGAAGGUACUUAUGUAUGUGUAUGUCAAGUUAUUUUUUAAUUCGUUUUUUGAUUUAUUGUUGUUUUUUCUAAACUAUUCAUUUUUUUUUGAUUUGUCAACAGGUCUAGCAGUUGUUAAGUAUUGUAUUUGGAAAUUUUGGACUGAUGGAGUAUACCGGAUUAAAAUGCAAGCUGUCGAUAUUUUUCAAUCGGACUUCUUGAUUUCUUGACAAGUUCUACCGGUCUAGCAGUUGUUAUUGUACUUGGAAAUUUUGGACUGAUGGAGUAUAAGUAGGUACCGGAUUAGAAUGCAAGCUGUCGAUAUUUUUCAAUCGGACUUCUUGAUUUCUUGACAAGUUCUACCAGUCCAGCAGUUGUCAACGUAUUUGUACCGAUGGAUCAUUCCGGAUUAGAAUUCGAGCUGUUGAUAUUUCUCAAUCGGACGACUUCUUGAUUUCUUGACAAAUUCUACUGUUAAGAAAGCAAUUUUUCAAAAUGUUGAAUCGUGAUAAGCAUAUCUUCAGAGGAAGAAAUUGUAAUUUUUCAAUCUGUCUGUCCAGCAGGUGUCAUUGUAUUUUGGCCGAUGGAGCAUACAGAAUUAGAAUACGAGCUGUCGAUAUUUUCUUUUCAAUAGGACUUCGUAAUUUCUUGACGAGUUCUGAUGGUGCUCGUAUUAAACCAAGAGGAGUUUCCAUGUUGCUGUCAAAUCAAAAUCGUCUGAUGCUGCCUUCAUUAUCUCCAUCAUGGCUGCCUACAAAGAGAAAACAUACCUACGUACUACCUUCUGUCAACGUCUUGGUGCUGCUAUCAGAUGAACUAGAUUUGAUGCUGUUUCUGUCCUGUCUCCAGUGACUCUUUCAUCAUUACCCGCCGCCCCCCCCCCGAAAUAAGCUUUCGUCUGUAAGUCGUCCAUUGCUUAAUAAUGAAAAAUCACCCUGUCAUUUUACAUUUGGGUUGGGUUUCUUCGAAAUUUGGAUUUUCAAGUUACGAGUCGAAUGAAAUAAUUUAUCAGAGAGAGCAUGAAUGAUUUAAUAACGAGUUUAAAAUAUUGUCAAGUGAAUAUGUCAUGUUCAAUGAAAUCAAUUCAAGCCCUCCCCCCCCACAAUUUGAUUUCAAAUUCAUUUUUCUUCGUACUUAGUUUCUUUUUCCAAGCUGUAUAAAUUGCAGAUAAUUUUCCGACUGUGUUUCAAAUUUUCACGAUACAUUUCGACUGACAUUUUUGAUGAAACUUUCUGAACCCCCCCCCCCCUCCCAUCCACUUUUGUGCCCUAAUGUACCUUUGUCGUGAACAAAUUUCGACCCACAUUUCCGGUAAAAUACGAGGAUUUUCGCCGUAUCCUUCGUCUCUCAACAUCGUUCACCCUCCACCCCUCCCCACAAAAUUUUUCGCUUAAUUUGUAACUUGGGGUUUUCGAAUUCUUGAGAUUUUGCGGGUAUUUUAUUUUUUUUUUCGCGAUUUGAUUGCAAGACGCACAUAUUAUUUGCUCGCGGAAGUUUAUGGCUUUUUGAUUCAUUUUGGGCUAUCGAUAUAAUUAUGUAUUGUUAUUUACGAAAACCGAUGAUUAAUCGAAAAAUUUCUGGUGGUUGGUUGUUAGGGAAGGUGUUUCGCUUUCGCGGUUAUUUGAACUAAUUGACAUCAUGGAACGUGGUCGUGGGAUUAUUAUUUUUGGUUAGAUAGGCUGCAAGUUUGAAUUACAACCUGAUAUCGUAGAAGUUGGGGAUCAAAAGAGAAAUGUUGGCGUGUAGUGCUGGUGAUGAGUCUACGUGGGUAUUUGUGUGCAGAUGGAAGUUGCGUGGCGGCGGUGGUGAGUGUUUGUAGGGGAUACGGUUGUGGCUGGUCUUGUUACGUUUUGUCCCGUGCUCGCCUGUUAAGCAUCAACCCACAACUGUACAUUUUCCAUGGCGAUUUUUUGAAAAUUUGUCUUCUGUUAGCUUCUAGGUUAAGAAAACGCAUCCGCGGGUACGGGCUCUCGCCCAAGGAUCCGUCAGGUCGGGGGCCUGCUCGGUGGGCCGCGCUGGCAGAAAACUGUACGGAGUCCAGGGGCCGAUGAUAUUCGUUGAAUUGAGGGAAACCUGGCCUCACUCCAACGAGGGGUAGUUGUAAUAGGCUGGUACAGGAAGUAACGUUUGCGUUUCCAUCUAGCGGUUAUAGUCUGACUAUUUCUGUGACCUUAGUUCCGGUUCAUCAAAGAUGGAGCAGGGAUGGUUAAUGUUGCCCCUCAGAAUCGACAAUAUUGCCAUUCCUGCCAUCAAGGAUGACCUGCCUCGGUUGGAUCGCCGGAUCUGUCUGUGAACCAACCGCACGCACAGUAAGUGGUGCACUCUAGGUUUUGCAUACACUUGCUUGCGUGAAAUGUGAGUUGUUUUUUUUUAGAGAAAUUUCAAAGCAGGCUGACCUGGGUUUGUUGCUUAGGUCAACUUGCCAGGCAGGUGAGUGUGUGUGAAAAGGAGUAUGGUGAUCUGGACUGUGUACGAUGUCUGGUUGUGAUUGAAUUUGUGUUUUGUAAAAUUUGAAUGAACAAAUUCAAGUUUCGGAGUAUAUUUUGGUCAUGUUGAAAUGAAAAGCAUCCUUGAAAAUAACGUAAUUUUGUAAUGCGAAUGAUUUCGCGAUGAUUAGAUGCGAGUAGAGUGGAUUGAUUUCUUAAUGUUUAAUCCGGUAUGAAAAUAUUGAAAAAAACGAUAUUUCAAUCAUUCCAUAAUAAAAUACAAUGCGCACAUUCAAAGUGAAAGAUGUAUUUACUUGAAUACAUAAUAAUUAAAAUAUGUACAUUAAUUCAAACGAAAAUAAAAUCGCCAUAAUGCGAACGGAAACGUAAUAAAUUUGAAUAGAAAUCCGUCGGAUAUUCAAAUAGAAAAUAUUUCAAAGUCAUGAUUGAUGUUUGUUGACUUCUCGGAAAUGUAAACUAUACAAUGUAUCUCAAUAAUACGACGAAUUACGAGUAAUUACGAAGUAAUAAACGAUUACAAUGUA